GUAUUGACAGAGGAGAGAAAGAAGGGGCUGGGGACACAGGGCCUCGGAACCAGGGACAGUCUAUGCCUUGGGGUAGGCAGCCCCAGCAACAGGGUGACUGGAAUACACCAAGUCAGGAAGUUUGGUGGCUCAACCUCCAACUGUUCCCCCAAGGUCUAAGGUUGCUUUCAAUGGCUCCAGCUCCAGACAACGCUCACAGGCUGCUACCAACCCUCCUGGCUACAGUUUCCUGAGUAACCCUGACUCAGUCACUGUCCUGACCCUAUUAUGAGCUGGGACUGGAGGCUGCAUCAGGGGCCUGCCCAGCCCUUGCACAAGCAGACUGGGACAGCCGGGGCUGCGCACAGCACCAUUUACAGCUGAACAUGCCAGCUAGUCUGCCAGGUUCCCACAGUCACAGGAAAGCCAUCUUAAGGGUCCAUCUGUGCCCCAUACCAGAAAAUAAGGAACUUGGGACUCACACGAAUAUGCUGCACCCAUCCAGAGCAGGGAGGGCCACUGUACAUCAAAGAAUAGCCUUGCUGAUGCUGUUAUAAGAACAAGCCCAGCCCAGUCCUUUCAUACCCCCACAUUAAGACCUCUUCCCGAGGCCAGACACAGACAUGGCCACCCUUCUAUAGCAGCUUCUCUUCAGACAGCCAGAGCACUCUAUGCCCUUGCAUCUGUGUGAGCCAUAGCUGGGGCAGGGCUCCUGGGACUGCAGUCUGCUUCAGACCCUCUCCUAUUGGGUGAUUUACUGCUUCCUGCCAUCUCCAGGUGCUCUCGCCCCACUCCUACCCACUAAGCAGCUUGUCACCAGUUCCACACUGAUGACCCUAGCAACCCUGGCCCUGUUCCAGGUGGCACACAUCACGAUGCCUCUAGCAAGGUGAGCCUUCCGCAGUCCUGCAGCUUUCCAUGCGUCCUGAGGAGCUGCCAGCCUAUCUUUCUUCCCCUGAGUCCAGCAGGCAGUCUGGCUGGGGGACCCUGGGAGGAGAUCCUGGGACGGGACCACAGGCCACAAAAGCUCGCUCUGCAGCCUUUAGCUGGGUGCCUGCUCUCUCUGGAAGCUCUGAGGAUUGCCUACUGAAGCCAGAACUUGAGCAAUGAAGACCCUGAAGAAUGAUCGAGAACCACAGACUGCUCACCAGGAGAAGACAUAAAGCAGGAAACAGUGGGUAAGACUGCAGCAUAUGCAACAGUGUAGAAGAGAACGUGGUGAGGAGGGAAGGCUUUAGACCACAGUCUGACUGUCCUAGACAGUGCCCAUGGCCUGCCUGCAGAGCAGGACCCUAUGGCCAGGGCCAAGGCCCAGCCAGCACCGACCCCUGGGCUAGACAAAGAACCCCUGAACUCGUCAGGAAUGGAAGGUGGCAGGCUGCCUGGCACAGCCAAUGUGUGCUGAGGCUGCAGCUGGUUCCAGAAGAUACCACAGAUUCUGCAAUAUUUCAAAGCCAUCAGGAUCCUAACAGCAGUGUCUACAGGUCAAGGCAGCAGAACUCACAGGCAAAGAAGAGUUAGAAUCUGCAGUGUGCACAUUAAGCACAGACUGGCCCAGAGGAAUGAGCUGCCACGUGCUUCCCAACCUGGAGCCAAGCUUGGACAGCCCACCUGGACCAGCUUGCAAUUCUGCAUACAGAGGUUAGGGAGUCCAUGGCGCCCACCUCCCUACACAGGCUACCUUGUCUUACUUUGUGAACAGAUGGCAUCCUGCAGCCAUCACUCUGCGUCCUGCUGCAGCCAUGGAGUCACUCUGCAGCCUAAGGUAAUGUAGAAUACCUCCUCGAGCUGUGUGGCGGUCCAGAGCUUAGUGUGGCUGCACAUGGCACAGACACCUUUAAUGUGCUUCUGUGUAAGAGACCCCACCUGUGUUGACAGCAGCACCUGCUUCCUUGGGUGGCCCUCACUCCUAGGUACUGGUACUCCUCAAAGUAUGUGACCUACUCCUGCCUGUCUGUGUCACUAUCCACUUCCCUACACAGAUCCUGAUGGAGACCAAUUGUCCAUCUCAGAUCCUUCUACGUCACUGACUAUCAGGAGCCUAGCCAGGUCAAUGAGAUCCUCAGAGACACGAAGGUGACAUGUCGUUCAAGGCUACCCAAGUCACAGAAGUGCUUGUCUAAUGAAGUUGAAACACUGGAGUGUGGCUGGCAAACACGGGACAAAGGCCCCAUACUUCCCUUGUGGUGCUGGACCAGGGCUCUGUGCCUAGCUAAACCUUGCCCCAAUGCCCCUGGGCCCAGGGUCAUCCCCAUUAACAGACUGUGCCUGUAUACCAUGCAUUUCUAGAGAUUGAAGACUGCUGGGAGGUGUCUCAUUUGUAGUAGGGUGCAUACAUGCUUAUUCCAGCUCUGCUGAGAGUUGCAAGCCCUUGACUUCCUGGCUCCUUUAGGGCUGUGUCAGGCACAAAGGUUCUGCCUCAAUUGCGACCCUGUCCCUGGGGCUCCCACACUUUGAAUCUGUUCCCUCUGCCUCACUCAGAGUCAGGCUGGGUGCACAGCAGUGAGGCCACCUGGGUUCCCAGGAUCUUCUGUGAGCUCUGAGCUCUGGUUGGAGGCUGUGUUCUUUUGACAGGCUUGGUUACACCAGAACCCGCUCAUGCGAAACAGUGAGCUGGGGGAGGCAAUAGCUGGAGAGGAGAUGAUUAAAACACAGCUCAAUAAAACCACCAAACCGGAUAGCAUGUUACUGCAGGGACUCUCCUGCUCUCACCAGUGUGGCAGGGACAACUCUCAGUCAUGGCAUAGGAACCAGGGCGGAACACAGCCUGUUGCUGGAGCGGCUAGAAUUUGGUAAGGGUAGGGCAUGUCCUAGAGGGGACAACAACAUUGUCCCCAGCUCACCAACAUGGUCACCCAUGGCUGGACAUAUUCAGAUAUGACUGCCCCUACACCCAGGUCUGCACCACAUCCCUUCUAUGUAGACGUGACCAGGCCUGGGGUCUAGGAGCCAGGGUAGGGGCACACUACAGGCUGCAGGAGGGGUGCUGAUCAACCCUGCUGACCUGAUGAAGACUGGGCCACAGUGGGUCCUCUGGAUGCCUGGCUCAGGCCUGGUUUGUCAGUUCUUAAAAGUGGACCUUGCUAAACCACAGUACCAUACCAGCUGGCUGUGGCUAUGCACACCCUUUUUCAAUGCUACCAUAGCUUUCCAUGUCAGAAAUACCUUUUAAAAAGGCUGACCUCAAACUUGGGGCAAUCUUCCUGUCUCGGCGUCCUGAGUGUUAGGGUGACAGAAGUGCACCAGUCCCAUAGCAGAGGAAGGCAAGCUCAAUGAUUGAAGGGACAUUUUUGAAGAGCCAUCUGUUUGAGGGAGACACUCUGGCCCACUAAGGGUUACAGCACAGAACUCUAGCUGCGGCUUGGCCCAUUUCUGCUACGAUUGCCAGCGCUGCAACGGCAGCCAGUUCAUUAGGGAGCCAGAGGGACUGUGCACAGGAUGAUUAGGCGCCAGCUCACAGUGCUGCCUGGUGGGGCCUGUGCCCCUCAGCAGUCUCUGGUGUCAUGAUGCCCCUUGUGUGGCACUGUACCCAUGACAACACCCACCUCACCCCUCUUGGCACAGAGGCCACUUGUCCUGAGUGGCAGGGAGCUGGCAGCACUAGACUGUCUUCUCCCCUGACGGUGCUCUUUGUCUGGGUCCUGUCAGUCCCUGCUUUGUGCAAACCUCAGUGUGACCAUCAUGGCCUUCUGGGGCAGCCCACAACUUCCCAGCACCCCUUACCAUGGGAACCCCUGGAGCCCCAGUUUACUCAUAGGGAAAUUGGGACAAGAUUGUAAUGCACAGGCUACAUAAUGUGGGGUGUCCAUGAUGUACUCUUCACUUAACCUACUGGGGAGUCAGUGGCAGGGGGCAGGGGGUUAUCAGCAUGUACCUCCUCCACCAAAGACCUUACAUGAUACUUAAGAACACUGUUGCCACCAGGGCUGUUGGGGCUUCUGACAUGGGGUACAAGGCUAGGAUACCCCACAGAGAACGCCAAGACCAUGUAUUGUGCUGGGGAACUCAUGCUAGGCUACCUUUCUAGAUCUUCCCUCUACCUAACAGUGGCCAGCUGUACCACAAGAAGGCUGUGUCAGCCUUACACAGGACCCUCUGUGCUCCCACUGGCCUUCUGGGACUCAUAGCGCAGAAGUCAUGAGACAGGGAUGGAGGAGGAACACACUUCACAAUAGCCAUCAUGUGCAUACAGCCCUGCCACAGCAUAGAUCAGGGGCCAGUGGAGCAAAUGACCAGCUGGUGGCACGACCUCAGACCCUGUGACUGCAGUUUCAGGCCAGCCUUAUGCCUCUCAGCCUGCAACUAACUGUCACCCACAGCAGGAAACAAGGCUGCCAGUUCUUACCUGGUCAUUAAUCUGUGCUGAGGGCCUGCUGCUACCAGUCUACCACAAGGGCAUGACGAUAUGCAAAGAGGAGGCUACCUCCAGACUUUCCCUCCAACUCCAGUGUCGUAUUUCUGGGAAGACUGGCAUCUGGCCACAGAAAUGGCAAGGGGACAGAGAAGCUGCUGAACGUGCAGCUAGAGCCAGGCUCUCAAUCACACCCUGGUCUCACCACAGCUCAGCCUGGUGGGGUCGUGAUGAGACCCUUCCCUGCAGUGUGGACCAGGGCUGAGCUUCCCACACUGUGUGUGUGGCCUGUGACUUGCAAAGGCUGAUGCAGCAGCCAGUGACAGGCAGGGCUGUACAGGAGGCGCCCCCUCGCUAAGAGAACCCCUUUGAUCUAGUUAGUGACCUGUGGAGAAUUGCUCCAGCCUGUGAAAAGCAGGCUGGUGGGCAGGCAGGCAGACUGUGCCUCGAGCCUGCCCAUGUUAUCACACCUGGAAAACUCUUAAGAAGGAAGGGCUGACCUGGUGCAUUCCCAGAAGCUCACACCACAUCUGCACAUAGGUCUACUGAACAGGCCAGGAACCUGGAGGGUAUGCUGGACAUGGCACCUGCUGGGUACCAUUGGCAAAGUUGCUUGGCCUCUCUGUUCCUGUCUGUCAGCCCAGAGUUACCAUUCCAUGGAGGGUGCUGACUUCACAGAGCAAGGAAUGAACCAUGUCUACGGGGAUCAUGUGGGAAUGCCUGACUGCCUGAGACUUAAGAGAGUGUUCACCCUAGCUAGCCCCAAGCUCAUUCACGGCCCUUGCUAUACAUGUGGGAUGGAAAGUGACACAGCUGGGUGGCUGAAUUUUCUGGAUUUCUCAUCUCUGAUUCUUUUGCUUCUGAGAUAGGAUCAUGCCCUGUAGCCUAGGCUGUGACCAACCUUGCAGCAAUCCUGCCUUAGCUUCUUGGAUGCUGAGAUUCCAUGUGUGCACCACGCACAGCUCAGGAAACUCUGGAAGGACAAAUGUUGUCAAGAGAGGAGAAGAGCCCAUGAGGGGCCCAAGCCCGACACAGGUCUGUGGGGCUUUGUUUUGUUUUGUUUUGAGGUAACCCAGGCUGCCCUCAAACUCAAGGAUGCCUGUAACCAAAGAUGGUUCUGAACUCCUGAUCCUCCUGCCAUUUGGUUAGCCUUAACUCUCAUCUCAAAACUGAACCAACAAGACCGUUGGCAACAACGGAUGCUGCACAUGGACAAGACACUCACAUGAGCAAGGCCACUCUCAACUGCCCUACUGUGAUCACAGAAGGAAAAGCCAGAAGAGGGGGUGAGAGAAGCUAGCAUGAGCAUCUCAGGUGUCCUUAUCUCUCUACACAACCAAAUUAGAAAAGGACACUCCCUUCCCAAUCAAAAGUGGGACCUGAGGCUCACGGCCCAUAAUCUGCUCUUUAACUGCGGUCACUUCUCCCUGCCAGUAAAGACAGAACAAAUCCCAAGAGAGAACUCUUUUAAUGGCUGUGUAAUAUUCCCUUAGCACAUGUUACUUUACUGGGGAGGUCUGUGAGACUAUACUGCACCUGUCCCAAAAAGAUAGUGGCCAAGGUCAAAGGUCAAAACAGACAUGGCUCAUAAGACAGCCUUCUGCAAAGGGUCCAUGAGUUACUGCAGUUGACCUGAGGAUUCUGGGGUCUGUGCCCUGGGGUGACCUAGAUGCCCCAGUACCACAUCUCUCCCCUGAGCUGAGCCUCCCACAAAGUCUAUGCUCACAUGUGAACAAUCUAGAAAAAUUCCUGUACCCUAUAGCAUCUUGCCUCCCUAGAGAUUCUGGUGACUUCAGUAUGGGCUGUUUCCUGGCCCAGAGGUCAGCCUGUAGCUCCAGUGCAUUUGAGUUCUGCCUCCCACUGCCAGGGCCAGAGGUAUGCUGGCUCAGCUGGAUGCCUGGUCUCUUAUGAAGGAGGCGGUGUAGGCGUGGGGAUGCAUGCACACAGUGCUGGCUAGGGCUAAUGUUCUCACCUCCACAGCCAGCAAGUACCUUCCUGGGAGACUCAAGGAGUGCCAGGCUGCAGAGAGGACCUAGCUUGGCACUGUGUGACUCUAUGCUGGUGGCUCCUCUGUUCCUUAGGGACAUGCAGGUGGAACUCCAGUGCCUACCAUUUACUGUGGGCUCCUCUGCACCCUCUUCAGCCAUUAAAAAUGCAAAAUACCACCUGUUCUGCCCUGGUCAGAGAGGAGUAGGGCUUGCAGCUCCCUGAUACUGCUGUGGACUUGGGAGGGCAGGUGAGGUCCCAGGGGAACGGAGAGAAGCCAAAAAGGACACAGCCUAUGCAUGCAGGCUGGGGAGGAUGGUGCGGAAUUGUGACCACCAUGUGGGAGCAGCUGGCGGGGAAGAGAAAGACAGGCACUCACCCCGGGACUCAGACCCCAUCUUGCCUUGCAUGGCAUGGCACCCCUCACAGCUUCUCUGUCCACACCAGGAGGGAGCAGCAAUCCUGGACCCCAGUUCCCACCAUGAGGCCCCACCCUCAGCUGGCCAUGCACCCCCCUGGCUGGUGGGCACACCUGGGAGAGCGCUGUGCUGGCCACUCUGCCCUUUCACUGGCUGGUCUAUGAUGCCUCGGACCACUUGUCACCUAAUUUGACACUUUGCUGUCUGACUGUGGAGAAUGGUGCCAUCAUGGACCACGAUCCACAAAUGUUGCUUGUUUGUGAACAUGUGGCUGAGACUGAAAUUGCUUUUACUGUCUGGGCAGUUCCUGUCAUGGCUGCGGCUGAAACAGCCCUGCCUUCACAGCUCAAUUUGCAGGUGCCAGCCCUACCAGCUCUAGCCAUGCAAGGUGUCUACUCAAUCAAAACUGGACACGGGUCUCAACCCUGGCUCAUGCCACCUUCCCACGUCAUGCCAGACUUGGUGUUUCGUUUAGACUGAAGACAGGCCCCAACAACAGUGGAUCACCAGGCCCAUACUACAUCCUUAGUGAGUUAGCCCAGAGCUUCAUGGCUCUGUAUCAUGUCCAGUCACAAAAGGAGACAACUGCCCCAGGCAGCAGAGUGAGGGCAGCAAGCAAGAAGCAAGGGGCUGAGGGAGACCAGGAAUGGCCCAGUAGACAAAGCAGGCAACGAUCUGAAUUCCCACCUUCUGAACCCACAUAAAGGUGGGUGUGCUAGUCGUGAAUGGAAGUGAGAUGGGAGGCUGAUGGGGCACCCCAGAAGCCAUAGGCAGGAGACCAUGCCUCACAUAGGAAGAUGACAUGUGGGUUACAUGUGCACACAGGUGCACAUGAAUACACAUGAGUAGUAGCAACACUAAUAAAAAGGUAAAUGGUGACCCAGGCCUGGGCAUGGCCAUCCUGUGGGCCCAUCAUUAGGAAGGCCAAGGCAGGAUCAGGCAAGUUCAUGCUUGAUGUCUCAAAAACUGAAAUGGAACUAGUAAAUAACUUGGCUCAACAACAAAGGCCAGCUCCCCUG